CAGUGGUUCAAAAUACCAGCCACCAAUUGUAUUGAGCAAGAAGAUGACCUAUCUCUUGAGGAGUCAGUGUACAUUAUCAGAGAACUGGCUGCUGAACUGGACAGAGUGGUACAGUCCAAGAAGUUAUCCUUGAUGACUCGGAAGAUUAAAAAUAAAGGAAGUAACGAAGAACAACAGUAUUAUAUUUUGCAGUGGGCAAAAGAUCUUGAGAACAUAAAGACAAAACAAAUGGACAAGAAAGAGACCUCCUCUGAGCAGUUGUCAAGUGAAAUGAAAUUUAACAAAGCAAAAAAAAUCUUGUCUGACUGGUUUUGGAAACUGAAAGAUCUGAAACAGAACUCAGUAUGUCCAAAGGGGGGAUGGGAAGAAACACUGAGGGAUCUUCACAAAGAGCGGAAGCAGGGAGAGUCCAGCAUGCUUCCAGUAAUGGACUGGAUGGUAUGGGCUGUUCUACAGUCAGAAUGCUCUGAGGUAAAGAAUACAAAAGUUGAUCAUAUAAUGAAAAUUAAAGUUGAAGAAACCAAAAGAUACAA
rnacentral:lncRNA from 1 species